CAAACCGCUGCAAUUUAAUCCGUUUCCAUGCCUGACCUGCACCUCAAAAACUGUGUCUUGGUCCAUCUUUAGACCAAGCACGAGCUUGCGACGCAUUCUUCUUCCACUGAACCCACGAGUGCCAUGCUUUCUCGCUGCAGUCUUUUUAUUUUCCAAGGUUGGUGCCUUCUCCAUUACUCUGCUUCAAGGUUUCUUCAAGCUAGUUGGAUAAAAGACGAUGAACAGUAGCAUGGACCAUGCAAGCAUGGUGCCGAGGAUUAUGGCGUAUCACUUAUUGGAAGAGAUGACAAAUGGUUUCUCUGAGUACCGGGAGCUUGGUCGAGUCACGUACGGAAAAGUCUAUCUGGUAGGGUAAUAUGGUUUCCUAUCACAGUUUCAUAAAAUUAGAGAAAGGGGUGAUACAACACUUGUAAAUUGAGACACACUGCAGUGUACACAUUAUUUGGUCUACAAAUUAUUAUUGGAUUCAUUUUAUCUACUAAGGAGGGAAAGAGAGUAGUUUAUUAGUUACUAGAGGAGCAACUAUAUCCAGCUCAUGGGAGGAGCAUCAUGCUAAUAUAUUCAGGGGCAUGCCGGUGACAUAUGACUCGCAUUGUUCGAGUACGUUGGGUACAA